UACGGAGGGUGCGAGCGUUAAUCGGAAUUACUGGGCGUAAAGCGCGCGUAGGCGGCUUUGUAAGUUAGAGGUGAAAGCCCGGGGCUCAACUCCGGAAUUGCCUUUAAGACUGCAUCGCUAGAAUCCGGGAGAGGUGAGUGGAAUUCCGAGUGUAGAGGUGAAAUUCGUAGAUAUUCGGAAGAACACCAGUGGCGAAGGCGGCUCACUGGACCGGUAUUGACGCUGAGGUGCGAAAGCGUGGGGAGCAAACAGG
rnacentral:rRNA from 1 species